UCACACAGGGUUCAAAAUAAACAGGAUUGCUACUUUCCUUACUUUCCUGACUGUGGAGAGCAACAAAGCAAAAAGAUUUACAGCCCAGAAUUGUACAGACAUAGAACUAUUUAGUUGUAUGUUUUAUGAUGCCAUUAGCCUCUACUUCCCAGAUAGCAAAAAAUAUCUGCACGGCUUCUUUUUGCCACCGGCCCUAGGCUGUCGGCUAUAGGUGCGUCCCGCUGGCGGGGAUGAAACGUUUGCCGCCGAAAACGUCACUCCCAUUUCUUGCGAGAUGCCGCCGGCUUCAUUUUCUCUGGCGGUUGCCUCGGUCUAAUGGACCGCGGCCAUCUGGCGGCCAGCCGCUUUGAAAUACAAGGCGACUCUCAAAAUCGACCAGCCAUGUUGGUUUGGACACACAUUCGCAUCAGUUCGUCGAUCAAUCGCGAGUUACUACAGCCUGCAGUUUGCAAGCUAGCAAAGUCAUCGACUACCAUUGUUUAAAUACCUUAACCAGAGCAUAAUCGGUAAUCUUCACCCAAGACACCUACUGCUGGACAAUCGUUUUGGCUUUAAAGGUAAAUGCAUUGUUAGUCACUGUGUAGUUACUGGGCCAAAAGUUGAGAGGGACAAACAGGACAUUGCAGCUGCAAACAAUGCUCUACUUGCUGUUAUUCUCGACUUUGACCAAGUAAAUCCUCAUGUUAAUGAACAUUAACAUGGAAUGGCUUUCUGUUUAUGGUGCAUAACUGACUCUUUCAUUCAUUAUUCCCUGAAGCUAGAAUCUUGGCAAGAGGCGAUGAGAUAUUUGGUGUGCUUCCAAACAGGUUCCAAUGUUGAAAUGACAGACGAUGACAAGAAAGGAAAGCGAAAGUGAAUCUCAUAUUCCAAAUACAGAUCCCAGGCCUCUUCUGAUAAAAUGGAGUCUAGUCUUUCAGAUGCACCAGCAGUGCUGUCAUUUUGACAACCUCUUCUGAGAUUUGAAAACAUUGUUCCCGGCACCGAGGAUUCAGUGCUGCCCCAUGCUCCAGAAGUUGCAUCGAUUCCAGGAAGUUGAGCCAUCUGUAGACUUCAGAGCUGAUUUUCAAAUUUCCAGACUCCACUUCACAGAGCCAAGAGUUUG